AAAAAGCAACACGGGUGCCGAGAUUCCCUCAAUUCUCUCUCUAUACCUCUUUUCCUAGGAAGAGAGUGCGAGAGAGAAAAUGAAAGAUGGGAAUUAACUCGAGCUGAGAUUAUACCGUCGUUAGCGGAUCAGGAUAAUGCCUGCGUCGCUAGUUGCUUUUAAACGUGU
rnacentral:ncRNA from 1 species